rnacentral:rRNA from 1 species
CGCCACACCCACAAGGGAAUUCAGCAGUGAUAAACAUUGAGCAUAAGCGAUAGCUUGACUCAGUUAAAUUAAACAGAGCCGGCCAAUCUGGUGCCAGCCGCCGCGGUUACACCACUGUGGCUCAAAUUGACUUCUUUCGGCGUAAAGCGUGCUUAAAGCCUAAAAUUUCUUGGAAUUAAACUGAAACUAAGCUGUGACACGCUUGUUACUCAAGAAAACCAAAAACGAAAGUUAUUCCAAUUUUUUCAACUUGAAUUCACGACAACUAGGAAACAAACUGGGAUUAGAUACCCCACUAUGCCUAGUCGUAAACUUUAAUCUACUCCAACAUCGCCCGGGAACUACGAGCUAAGCUUAAAACCCAAAGGACUUGACGGUACCCCAUAUCCCCCUAGAGGAGCCUGUCCUAUAAUCGAUAACCCCCGUUUAACCUCACCAUUUUUUGCCAGUCAGCCUGUAUACCUCCGUCGUCAGCUUACCACGUGAGCGUCAGUGAGCCUAAUGUUUCUCCAACUACACGUCAGGUCAAGGUGCAACAUAUAAAAUGGGAAGAGAUGGGCUACACUUUCUACCAUAGAAUAAACGAAAGACUAA